AGUGGGGAAUAUUGCACAAUGGGGGAAACCCUGAUGCAGCCAUGCCGCGUGUGUGAAGAAGGCCUUCGGGUUGUAAAGCACUUUCAGUCGUGAGGAAAGGGUGUAAGUUAAUACCUUGCAUCUGUGACGUUAGCGACAGAAGAAGCACCGGCUAACUCCGUGCCAGCAGCCGCGGUAAUACGGAGGGUGCGAGCGUUAAUCGGAAUUACUGGGCGUAAAGCGUGCGUAGGCGGUUUGAUAAGUCAGAUGUGAAAUCCCGGAGCUUAACUUCGGAACUGCAUUUGAAACUGUUUAACUAGAGUACUGUAGAGGGUGGUGGAAUUUCCAGUGUAGCGGUGAAAUGCGUAGAGAUUGGAAGGAACAUCAGUGGCGAAGGCGGCCACCUGGACAGAUACUGACGCUGAGGCACGAAAGCGUGGGGAGCGAA
rnacentral:rRNA from 1 species